UACGUAGGUGACCAGCGUUGUCCGGAUUUACUGGGCGUAAAGAGCGCGCAGGCGGUCGUUCAAGUCGAGUGUGAAAGCCCCCGGCUCAACUGGGGAGGGUCACUCGAUACUGAUCGACUUGAAGGCAGGAGAGGGAAGCGGAAUUCCCGGUGUAGUGGUGAAAUGCGUAGAUAUCGGGAGAACACCAGUGGCGAAGGCGGCUUCCUGGCCUGUUCUUGACGCUGAGG
rnacentral:rRNA from 1 species